rnacentral:rRNA from 1 species
AUUGAACGCUGGCGGCAGGCCUAACACAUGCAAGUCGAACGAGUGGCGGACGGGUGAGUAAUGUCUGGGAAACUGCCUGCUGGAGGGGGAUAACUACUGGAAACGGUAGCUAAUACCGCAUACCCUCGGAUGUGCCCAGAUGGGAUUAGCUAGUAGGUGGGGUAAAGGCUCACCUAGGCGACGAUCCCUAGCGGGUCCGAGAGGAUGACCAGCUACACGGGAACUGAGACACGGUCCAGACUCCUACGGGAGGCAGUAGUGGGGAAUAUUGCACAAUGGGCGCAAGCCUGAUGCAGCCAUGCAGCGUGGAUGAAGAAGGCAUUCGGGUUGUAAAGUACUUUCAGCGGGGAGGCGGUACCCGCAGAAGAAGCACCGGCUAACUCCGUGCCAGCAGCCGCGGUAAUAC